rnacentral:rRNA from 1 species
AUAACGACUCUCGGCAACGGAUAUCUCGGCUCUCGCAUCGAUGAAGAACGUAGCGAAAUGCGAUACUUGGUGUGAAUUGCAGAAUCCCGUGAACCAUCGAGUCUUUGAACGCAAGUUGCGCCCGAAGCCAUCNGGCUGAGGGCACGUCUGCCUGGGCGUCACGC